rnacentral:lncRNA from 1 species
AGCUUCUAUAGCUUCCAUUAUCAUCUGCAAAGAAAACAUGAACUCAUUAAUUCCCUUUACAGUUUGAGCUAAAAUACAUACAAAUUCAAAUUCUACCCUUAAACAUCAAAAAGAUAAACAACAAACUUGAACCAAAAAAAAAAGUUCAUAUUACUCACAUCGGGGUAAGAAGGCAAAAUUGAAGGAGAUGAAGGCGGAAGCUGAGUAGGAGUUGGGUUAUCAAUUUGUUGCUCAGUAGCCAUGUUUUUGCUUUUUGUAAAUCAGAAAACCAAAAAAAUAAAAAGCAAAAUGAUGAGAGGGGAAUAGUACUGUAGAAGGAGAAGCUGAGCUAAGAAAUAUUUU